UGGGGAAUAUUGCACAAUGGGGGAAACCCUGAUGCAGCGACGCCGCGUGAGCGAAGAAGUAUUUCGGUAUGUAAAGCUCUAUCAGCAGGGAAGAUAAUGACGGUACCUGACUAAGAAGCCCCGGCUAACUACGUGCCAGCAGCCGCGGUAAUACGUAGGGGGCAAGCGUUAUCCGGAUUUACUGGGUGUAAAGGGAGCGUAGACGGCAAGGCAAGUCUGAUGUGAAAACCCAGGGCUUAACCCUGGGACUGCAUUGGAAACUGUCUGGCUCGAGUGCCGGAGAGGUAAGCGGAAUUCCUAGUGUAGCGGUGAAAUGCGUAGAUAUUAGGAAGAACACCAGUGGCGAAGGCGGAUUACUGGACGGUAACUGACGUUGAGGCUCGAAAGCGUGGGGAGCAAACAGG
rnacentral:rRNA from 1 species